UGCAAGUCGUACGAGAGUUUUUAACUCUAGUGGCGGACGGGUGAGUAACACGUGAGAAUUUACCUUUAGGAGGGGGAUAACAAUUGGAAACGAAUGCUAAUACCCCAUAUGCUUUUGAGUGAAAUGGAUUUAUAAUUAUCUGCCUAAAGAAAAGCUCGCGGCUGAUUAGCUUGUUGGUAAGGUAAGAGCUUACCAAGGCGACGAUCAGUAUCUGGUUUGAGAGGACGAUCAGACACACUGGAACUGAGACACGGUCCAGACUCCUACGGGAGGCAGCAGUGGGGAAUUUUCCGCAAUGGGCGAAAGCCUGACGGAGCAAUACCGCGUGAGGGAAGAAUGCCUAUGGGUUGUAAACCUCUUUUUUCAGGGAGGAAUAAAAUGACGUGUACCUGAAGAAUAAGCAUCGGCUAACUCCGUGCCAGCAGCCGCGGUAAGACGGAGGAUGCAAGUGUUAUCCGGAAUCACUGGGCGUAAAGCGUCUGUAGGUGGUUUAAUAAGUCAACUGUUUAAUCUUGAGGCUCAACUUUCAAAACCGCAGUCGAAACUAUUAGACUAGAGUAUAGUAGAGGUAAAGGGAAUUUCCAGUGGAGCGGUGAAAUGCGUAGAUAUUGGAAAGAACACCGAUGGCGAAAGCACUUUACUGGGCUAUCACUAACACUCAGAGACGAAAGCUAGGGUAGCAAAUGGGAUUAGAUACCCC
rnacentral:rRNA from 1 species